CUACGGGGCGCUGCAGUGGGGAAUAUUGGACAAUGGGCGCAAGCCUGAUCCAGCAAUGCCGCGUGAGUGAUGAAGGCCUUAGGGUUGUAAAGCUCUUUUACCCGGGAUGAUAAUGACAGUACCGGGAGAAUAAGCCCCGGCUAACUCCGUGCCAGCAGCCGCGGUAAUACGGAGGGGGCUAGCGUUGUUCGGAAAUACUGGGCGUAAAGCGAACGUAGGCGGCUUGGCAAGUCAGGGGUGAAAUCCCAGUGCUCAACACUGGAACUGCCUUUGAAACUGCUUGGCUUGAAUCCUGGAGAGGUCAGUAGAAUUCCGAGUGUAGAGGUGAAAUUCGUAGAUAUUCGGAAGAACACCAGUGGCGAAGGCGACUGACUGGACAGGUAUUGACGCUGAGGUUCGAAAGCGUGGGGAGCAAACAGGAUUAGAUAUCCUAGUAGUC
rnacentral:rRNA from 1 species